rnacentral:rRNA from 1 species
CAGAAACUACAAAGGAAGUUGACGGGGCCCGCACAAGCGGAGGAGCAUGUGGUUUAAUUCGAUGAUACGCGAGGAACCUUACCUGGGCUCGAACGUAAGAUGACUGUAGGUGAAAGCUUACAUCUCUUCGGAGCAUUUUACGAGGUGCUGCAUGGCUGUCGUCAGCUCGUGCCGCGAGGUGUCGGGUUAAGUCCCAUAACGAGCGCAACCCCUACCUUUAGUUGCCAUCAGGUUAAGCUGGGGACUCUAAAGGAACUGCCUACGCAAGUAGUGAGGAAGGCGGGGAUGACGUCAAAUCAGCACGGCCCUUACGUCCAGGGCUACACACGUGCUACAAUGGCCGAUACAGAGGGCAGCUACCUGGUGACAGGAUGCAAAUCUCCAAAGUCGGUCUCAGUUCGGAUCGGAGUCUGCAACCCGACUCCGUGAAGUUGGAUUCGCUAGUAAUCGCGCAUCAGCCAUGGCGCGGUGAAUACGUUCCCGGGCCUU